UGCGCUCGCCACUCCGGCAGGGGGUGGCGGUGUCGACAGUAUGCGCCGUGUGGACGCUGUGGACACUGUGGACGCUGUGGACGGUGGAGGCGCCUCCGAGCGACAGCCUGCAGGGCCAGCUGGAGAGGGCGUUCGACCGACACCUGCGCGAAUGGAAGGCCGGGGGUCUGGUGCCGGGCAUAGGCGCCGAGUCGGCCUCUUCGGGUAGCCCCUCCCGCCACCGUACCCUGCUCAGGUCAAGACGCCGGGUACCCGUCCUCUACAUGAAGAAAAACAACAAAAAGCGGCCGUGUGUGAACACGGGGGGCAUGCUGUCUGGAUUCAACAGCUUCAACUAUCUCAGCUUUGUUGUUGGUGUAAUGACACUGGUACUCAACAUUAACAAUAACAUAAACAAUAACAACAAUAAUAAUAAUAACAAUAAUAAUAACAACCUUGACAACAAUAAUGUGAACGCUAAUCUCAACAGCAACAACGCGAACCAGGUGAACAUCAUGCCGCCGGGAGGAAGACGAAGAAAGCGUCACACGAGGCGAUCAUUCAAAUCCCGCAUGAGAGCGAAGCAGCGAGAUCUGCAGCACACUGUAGACAGCUGGCAGUUUGGAGCAGUGGAUGACGACGGGGACCAGGACAAGACUAGGUCAGGUCAGAAAAACUGUGACCAUGGACCGAGAAGUGAUCCAGUGUAUCAACUGGACUGCUCUCUGCGGAGGGCUUGCAGUCAUCUGGGGGACCUCGGAGAGCACAUUCUUAACCACUCAAGAUACGUUUUUCAAUAAAGGAUCGGCACCGAUGUCAACUACAGUUUAACCGACUGCACCGGUGUAAUCCACUGGUUGACCGAGAGCUACACUUGUCCUGCCACGAGAGAAAGUGAAUAUGGCAGGACGAGUCACAACAGUAUGACUACCUGUAUUCUAUGCAUGUGUUGUAUUGUUAAGUUGGGCAAAGGUAUCACAUGCUAGUUAUUAUCCAUUUUGGCACUAUCAGUUUGCAGGUGCCGAGUUAUGGGCGAAAAAAAACACUCCAAAGAAGUUGUUGCAGGCCGGUUAUUGCAAAGUGCCCGGAUGAAUGAUAAAAACCUUGACGCCGUUUUACAGCCCGAAGACGUAUUGUGAAGUCUCAGUUCACUUACGUUGGUGGAGCGCUUCCUUUAUGAAGAGCUUAUGCUACGAUGAGUCAAUACGACCAUUAGUUUGCGAACGUGAAAUUUUGAUGUAAAUGUGCCAUGCCAACUCUCAACUCAAAUGCGACAGCAAAAAGGAGCGGUCGAUCAGACAGAUCAGAAUUAUUGAUUGUUUAAUUUCGAACCUAACCCAUUUCGGGGUAUCAACGCGUUGGUAUGCUGGGAAAGCGGGCGCAGCGGCAGCGAGCGAGAGGGUACGAUGACAGCACGGAUCCGAGUCAGUGCUGCCACUGGGGCCGGGUCAGUGUUGCCAUUGAACCCACCGGCUUGCCCCUCCCCGUCCUGUCCCCGCCAUACCCUUACCCGUCCACCUGAGGGUAGGCUAAGCUGAAGUUCGCCAUCAGCAAAUUAUUGCAUUGUUUCUUCUUUUGUCGCUUCUUCGCUUAAGAUGAAGGCAACCACGUUAAUUUAUAAGCAUUUUUAUUUGGCUAGUCAUAUUCUUAGUCGGUUCCAAUUCGCUGGGCAUAAAAUGUAGGCACUGGUCUCAACUUUAGGUAGGUACGUACGGACAACGACCUGACAGCUGCGUACGGUGGAAUGAAAACCAACUCAGGCCAUUAUUUUUGGUGGCGCUCGUUUACUGCCGUGUACA